rnacentral:rRNA from 1 species
AGCAGCCGCGGUAAUUCCAGCUCCAAUAGCGUAUAUUAAAGUUGUUGCAGUUAAAAAGCCCGUAGUUGAAUUUCGGGGUUAGUAGGUUGGUCAUGCCACUGGUAUGUACUGAUCUUACUGAUUCCUCCUUCCUGAUGAACCGUAAUGCCAUUAAUUUGGUGUUGCGGGGAGACUGGACUGUUACUUUGAAAAAAUUAGAGUGUUUAAAGCAGGCUAACGCUUGAAUACAUUAGCAUGGAAUAAUGAAAUAGGACGUUCGAUCCUAUUUUGUUGGUUUCUAGGAUUGACGUAAUGAUUAAUAGGGAUAGUUGGGGGCAUUAGUAUUCAAUUGUCAGAGGUGAAAUUCUUGGAUUUAUUGAAGACUAACUACUGACGAAAGCAUUUGCCAAGGAUGUUUUCAUUAAUCAAGAACGAAAGUUAGGGGAUCGAAGACGAUACAGAUACCGUCGUAGUCUUAACCAUAAACUAUGCCGACUAGGGAUCGGAUGAUGUUAAUUUUUUAAUGUACUCAUUCGCGCCU